UGUGCCAGCAGCCGCGGUAAUACAGAGGGUGCGAGCGUUAAUCGGAUUUACUGGGCGUAAAGCGUGCGUAGGCGGCUUUUUAAGUCGGAUGUGAAAUCCCCGAGCUUAACUUGGGAAUUGCAUUCGAUACUGGGAAGCUAGAGUAUGGGAGAGGAUGGUAGAAUUCCAGGUGUAGCGGUGAAAUGCGUAGAGAUCUGGAGGAAUACCGAUGGCGAAGGCAGCCAUCUGGCCUAAUACUGACGCUGAGGUACGAAAGCAUGGGGAGCAAACAGGAUUAGAUACCCUGGUAGUCCAUGCCGUAAACGAUGUCUACUAGCCGUUGGGGCCUUUGAGGCUUUAGUGGCGCAGCUAACGCGAUAAGUAGACCGCCUGGGGAGUACGGUCGCAAGACUAAAACUCAAAUGAAUUGACGGGGGCCCGCACAAGCGGUGGAGCAUGUGGUUUAAUUCGAUGCAACGCGAAGAACCUUACCUGGCCUUGACAUACUAGAAACUUUCCAGAGAUGGAUUGGUGCCUUCGGGAAUCUAGAUACAGGUGCUGCAUGGCUGUCGUCAGCUCGUGUCGUGAGAUGUUGGGUUAAGUCCCGCAACGAGCGCAACCCUUUUCCUUACUUGCCAGCAUUUCGGAUGGGAACUUUAAGGAUACUGCCAGUGACAAACUGGAGGAAGGCGGGGACGACGUCAAGUCAUCAUGGCCCUUACGGCCAGGGCUACACACGUGCUACAAUGGUCGGUACAAAGGGUUGCUACCUAGCGAUAGGAUGCUAAUCUCAAAAGCCGAUCGUAGUCCGGAUUGGAGUCUGCACUCGACUCAUGAAGUCGGAUCGCUAGUAUCGCGGAUCAGAAUGCCGCGGUGAAUACGUUCCCGGGCCUUG
rnacentral:rRNA from 1 species